rnacentral:rRNA from 1 species
CGCAUCUGUGCAUGCAGCAUAUCAAUAAGCGGAGGAAAAGAAACUAACAAGGAUUCCCUUAGUAACGGCGAGUGAAGCGGGAAGAGCUCAAAUUUGAAAUCUUCAAGGUUUUACCUUGACGAAUUGUAGUUUAAAGAAGUGUUCUCUGUUGAAGUUUUGGUAAAAGUUCUUUGGAAUAGGACAUCAUAGAGGGUGAGAAUCCCGUAUUUGACCAUUAUUUUCAGCUGUGUGAUACACUUUCAAAGAGUCGGAUUGUUUGGGAAUGCAGUCCAAAAUGGGUGGUAAAUUUCAUCUAAAGCUAAAUAUUGGCGAGAGACCGAUAGCGAACAAGUACCGUGAGGGAAAGAUGAAAAGAACUUUGAAAAGAGAGUUAAACAGUACGUGAAAUUGUCAAAAGGGAGGCGUUUGACACCAGUGUUGUUUUCUCGAAAAUCAAUUAAAAAGAGUUAGAUUUUGUUGUGUAUUGACCUUAACAGCUUGCAUUUCAAUUUUCUUGCUUUUUUUAAUGCACUUUUCGUUUAACAAGUCAACAUCAGUUUCUUUUGUUGUAAAAAGGUCAUUGGAAGGUGGCUUUCUUUUCGGAGAAAGUGUUUAUAGCCUUUGACUCCUGCAAUCGGAGAGACUGAGGUCUGCAGCGUAGAUCCUUCGGGGUUAGAUACAUUUGUGCUAAGUUAUAGCUUUUUAUAGACAACUUGUUGACUAUGAUUAGUCUUGUAGCUUACUCGCUUAUGCUAUUUUACCUACGCUUAGGAUGUUGAUCUGUAGUGCGUGCGC